rnacentral:lncRNA from 1 species
AAAGGAUUAAAUGAAAAUUCAGAAAAUAAAAAAAAUUAGAAAAAACAAGGGUCAUCAAAUCUCCCUCAUUAAUUGAGGUGGCAGAUCUGAUGGCCACACGCGCGUUAUCCGUGGUGGACAUAAGUCGAAGUGAUGUACGUGCGGUAAUUCAAACCAAAGGCCAAGAUUAGAUCAUUGGACCAGGAUCAGAUGGAUGUGAAGCUGCCAACACACCACCGGAGCUAGGGCUCCGGUCUUCUUCUCCGGUGGACCUCACCGGACUGGUC